CGGGAGGCUCGAGCGCGGCACGAGCGCGGCCGGCGCGGGGAACUGUGGUUACCACGGAGAUCCUUGCCGGGAGCACGUUUUCAGGCGCCUGCCGUGGUUUGGUGGAGCCCCACAAACAAUAGUGAUGACUUGGGGGAACACCGAAACGCUGGGGACGGCCCCGCUCCCGCUCGCCGCACUAGCCCCUGCCCGCUGCCCUCUUUUGAGGGGACUAACCGGUGGCCUUAAUAGCAAACUGGAAAGCCGUUUUAUUUCAUAGGAACAUAUUACAACCAACAAGGUAAAUAGGGACUUGUGGGGGGGAUGGAAGGAGGGAGGGAGAGGGGCUUUUCUUUGAUAGCGUUUAAUUGGAAUUGAAACAUUCUGGGGCUGUAAACAUUCUUUAUUUAUUCAGCACACAUAAGCGGGCAUUGUUUUAUCACCAUCAUAAUUACGGUGUCCUUUAAACUGACUGAUAGGAAAGGAGAUAAGGGAAUGCGCCUGUAGCUCCAGAUCAAAUCGCUGGCUCUCCCCUCUCCCCGGGUCACCAGGAUCCACACAGUCCUUGAAGAUGAGGAGCGCCGGAAGAUUGUGGCCUGGCCAUCCCUUACGUCAUGAAAGUGAUUUGUACCACAUUGCUAAUUUGGUGCAAUUCAUAACCUUCUGAUCUCCUAUGUUUGCAACUGCUUUUCAGUUCGGAGGAUAUGUUUUUGGGGAUGUAGUUCCCGAGUGUAGGAAUUAAGACUGAUCACCUAUGUGCAGGAAAGGAUCUUAUUUCCCAAUGUUUGUUGCU
rnacentral:lncRNA from 1 species